GCCACACUGAAAUUCUCCAGGAUGACAGCGAUGUACAUGUUCACGACCACUAGGAAGGAGAUGAUAAUGUAGCUGACGAAAUAGAAAAUCCCAACGGAUGGGUUCCCACAGUCUCCUUCAACUGGGCUUCCUGGGCAAAGUUGGACAUCCCAAAGAUGGCGUAGAUGAACAUGACGAGGAAGAGCAGGAGGCCGAUGUUGAACAAGGCAGGAAGUGACAUCAUCAGCGCGAAGAGCAGCGUGCGGAUCCCUUUGGCCCCUUUGAUGAGACGUAGGAUGCGGCCAAUCCGGGCAAGGCGGAUCACCCGGAACAGGGUAACCUGUGUAAAAGUGGUCACAUAUGUCUGCCUGGUUAAAGCACAGAGCUGCAUCGUUGAAUGAUCCACUUUAGUUUACCCCUGUGAGAAGUGAAGUUAGGUCCUGAAAUUUAGAAAAGCAGCAUGAUGAAACAGCUUGGUCAACUGUGAUUGAAAAUGUUAAUAUUAUAUACCUGUAAGUAGAAAUUACUUAUCUGUUAUGCAAAUGCUUUCAUUGUAUAAAUGAAAUGCUAAGUAACAGAUUUGAAACAAAGGAAUAAGAUUAAAUAUUA